rnacentral:misc_RNA from 1 species
GGGCUCAUUAGACUCCAUGAAGAAUUUCUGAGCUUGUUGAAUCUCACUGCAUGAAAAUAUUCAUCCACAUUUAGUUGUCAUGAUAACAACUGCCUAGCAUUCUAACUCGGAGAAUGUUAUCCAGAUUAAAUAGCCAAAACAUUAUAACUGUACCAUAAAAAUGAUAUGUCAAUGUUACAAGUGUCAAGUAUGCAAAACUUUCUUGACAUGUUUACAAUGUUACAACAGUUAGCCUUUGGUACAAUCAACAGAAGCAGUAGCUGUCUGCCUGUCUUUCAGAGUAAUCAUAUUCUAGUUGCAAAAUGAAAAGUUGUUUUGUAUCAAAUAGAAGUAUUCACUGAAUUUUUAUCUGCCUGGUUUGAAUUCAAUUGAUCUCCACUAUGAAGUUGAUCAACUGCACUUCGAGGUCCCUUGUUGUCAUCGGGGUCUGUCUUCAUGAAAUGGAAGCCCAUUAUAUAUCUAUACUCUCCUGUGCCUAGGCAACGGGAGCAAUAGCCAAGGCCGCUGCCACCACAAGUCCCACACCUGGAGAAGCAAUUGCAGGAGAGUUUAUGGUAGUUCUGUCAAUAUAAGAGUAAUAUGGAUCACAACAAAUAUUUCGAUAUCUCACCAUUUUGGCCAUUCCCCUUUGGGAAGCAUUGCUAAAUUAACACAAUUUGUCCUGCCUACAACAUUCAACACAGAAAUAACGUCACCAAAGGGAGGAAAAAGAGAGGCAAUAGCAUCAUAGUGUGAAAGCUUAUAUGGACUCUUCUGUGUGGAAGUUUGUAGAAGACGAGUAACACACAGACAUGGAAUACCUACGGUUCCAUUGUGGCUAAAGAAAGAGGCAAUACAGACAGAUUUCUUCACUAGAACUUAUGAUUGCUUCAUUUCACAAUAGCAUAUAGAAGUUUAAAAAACCUGAAGCUUUAUCUUUGGCAAAACAGUAUAGCCACUUAACAUCAUUUGGUCCUAUGUAUAAUUUUCAAGGCAGGGAAUACCGACACCGUACAACUAACAGCACUGCUUCAAUCUGAAUACCUGAUACUUUCUCAAGUCAAAACUCAAAAGAAUGGUUUAAAAAAAUUAAAAAGUUGGGAGUUGUGAGAGAGACCCUUUCCAGAACAAUGGUGGCAAUCAACUCUUCCAGUUCCCUUACAAACCACACAAGGAGGAUCAGGCUUCUUCCUAAUUUCUUUCCGGACAUUUGACUGCUACAAGACAAACCAGUCCAGAAUAUUGAUCAUUAGCAGGACCUCCUCCUGGAACUAAUUCAUACAUAGAGAAACCCCGGGGGGAGGGGGUUGGGUUGCGGGGGGGAGAAGGGGGGAAGGCUUGCCUCAGUUCGGACCACCCAAGAGGGCUUGGUGAGAGAAAGGCGCGGCAAAGAAGUGUUCUUCGGAGUCCGUACUAUUGGCAAUAGAAGACCAUCGCUGCCCUUUUUCUCAUUGCUGCCGUCGCUUUUCGAAUAAUUCAAUUGGACAACCGUUAGCAGAGUAGCAUCCGUUCUCGCUGCCAUUUUAAUCGGACGAACUAUCGAUCCAGUUUUGGUCUGGUUAAAGGGCAGAGAGAAACGGUUUGAAUUUGGGUCCGAGCUCUUGCC